CUGGGUAUGAUUGUCUCAACACACGGAAAUGUUUUAAGAAAAUAUAGUACAAAAUAAUUAUGUGGGUCUGUUAAAGGACUAGAAACAAAUAUCAAAGUUGAGUAUCAUAAUUUAUAUUUUUUUUGCAGGGAGAGUAAUUCGCCACACUGGCAUGGAUACCUCAUGAGUGUCCACUUAGAAAUAAGAAUUUCUUGACAGGUUCUGGCUCUAGGAGAUUUUUAUUCUGUAGAAAGAUUGUCAUCACACACUUCCUACAUAGGCCUGAUCCUAUGACAACAUAAAGAGACAGCAAGAUCAGUAGAAAGUAAAACUCAGGUUUUAAUUCUGCCACUGCAGCAUCCGGAGUCCUCAGUCACCUCCCUGAUACCAAGGUGGUAGAAUGAACCAGGGUUUCUCAACCUCAGCACUGCUGACACUUUGAGUUGAAUAAUUCUUCAUUUCAGGCAGAUGCCCUGUGCAUUGUGGGAUGUUUAGUAGCAUCCUUGGACUCUAGCCACCAGAUGCCAGAAGUCACCACCCCUUCUCCAGUGUGCCAACCGAAGAGGUCUCCAGACAUUGCCAAAUGUCCUCUAACGGACAAAAUCACCCCCAGUUGAGGACCACUGGGCUUGGUUCCUUGAGGCUGUCCCUUCUGGCUCUAAAAUGUUACACUUCAAUAUACCAUUUGAGCAACAGAUAUAAUUUUCUCAGAGCCCAGGUAAACACUAACAUAUGAGAAAUCAGCAAAGGCCAGGCCAAUAGCUCUGGUCACUUUUUUGUGGGCAUUCAACUGCUAUCUAAGGAAAAGAGGAGCAUUCAGAGGAACAGCAGAGGAAAUUGAUGAUGCUUUGACCAGAUGACAUUAUUGUGAGAAUGGAGCAAGUGGCCAUGGAUAAUGACUAAGACUCAGGAGAAAUUUAAAGUAUUGUUGAGAUCAACCAAGCACACACACGCUUGAUCUCAUUAGACUGAGUCUCGACUCCCAAUAAAUUGGGAAUUUCCAGCCAUACAUUGCAUUAUAAGAGGCUGGGGAUUCCUAUCCAUACAAUAUCCAGAGGGCAGGGAUGCAAGAAUAUAAUGUGUUUUUAAAUUAUGCAAGUGGAAAAAUGGCAUACAAUCUGCCAUAAGGUGUGUUCCCAAGAAGCAAAGAUUUAGAAGGGAUUGAAUGUGGUGAUUUAUUGUGGGAGUGUUCUCUGGACAGAGAGAAUGAAGGAAGCAGGCUACGGCAGGGGAAGAUGCUAAGCAAGGAUGCGGGCUGAGCGAGAGUCUGGUUUCAGCCUUAUCCCUCAAGCAGUCUGAUGCAAGAAUUGCAAAACCACCAGAGGUGGUCACACCUUAAGGCAGGGGUCCAUUCUUCUGUACCUGGUGACAGUAAGUUACUGUAGUCUAUGGGCUGCCCCAACGGGUGAGGGGUGCAUAGGGCGUAUAACCUCCGGAUGAUGUGACUUCUCUUUUAGCUGAGGGCAAUUCUCCAGAUCACAGGCAGCAGUUAUGAGCUGUUAACAGCCAACACUUAGAGAAACUGGGAACUCAUAACCCAGUAAAAGGAUUUCCAACUGUCUCUACUACAAGUAAAGUGUCUUGCAAAUUGCAAUAAGAAUGUCGGUUGUUGUCAUAAUCAGACCAGAUUAAACAGCAUGGAUUAUAAACGAGAAGGACUAUCUCCUCCCAGCCUUCUGAUAAAGGCCUAUGAAGACAGCUGGGUAGCCUGGUGGGCCCUUCGCCCAACCUCAUCUGUGCCACUUAGUCAGCCAUGAGGGGCUGAGAGCCACCCUCCUCCCCAGCCCAGUGUGCUGGGAAAAUCACAUUUGUGCCAAAAUAUGAUAAUAUGAGCUGAUCUCACCUGAUUUAAGACCUCUGCGUGCUGCCAGUUCCCCACCCCCACCCCCCCCCCCA
ensembl:lncRNA